rnacentral:rRNA from 1 species
GGGAGGUAGUGACAAUAAAUAACAAUACAGGGCUCUUAUGGGUCUUGUAAUUGGAAUGAGUACAAUUUAAAUCUCUUAACGAGGAACAAUUGGAGGGCAAGUCUGGUGCCAGCAGCCGCGGUAAUUCCAGUUCCAAUAGCGUAUAUUAAAGUUGUUGCAGUUAAAAAGCUCGUAGUUGAAUUUCGGGGUUCUUCCGUUGGUCAGGCUAACAAGUCUGUACUAGCGUGUAGAAUCUCUACCUUCUGGGGAACCAUCAUGUUAUUAAUUUAGCGUGGUGGGAAACCAGGACCUUUACCUUGAAAAAAUUAGAGUGUUCAAAGCAGGCUUACGUCUGAAUACAUUAGCAUGGAAUAAUAAAAUAGGACGGUGGUCCUGUUUUGUUGGUUUCUGAAUCACCGUAAUGAUUAAUAGGGAUAGUUGGG